rnacentral:miRNA from 1 species
UGAAACUUGCUUAGUACGGGCCUGUAGUAAGGCCGUUCUUUGCAAGUUUUGUU